GACGAACGCUGGCGGCGUGCCUAAUACAUGCAAGUCGAGCGCAGGAAACUGACGGAACUCUUCGGAGGGAAGGCAGUGGAAUGAGCGGCGGACGGGUGAGUAACACGUAAGGAACCUGCCUCAAGGAUUGGGAUAACUCCGAGAAAUCGGAGCUAAUACCGGAUAGUUCAACGGACCGCAUGGUCCGCUGAUGAAAGGCGCUCCGGCGUCACCUUGAGAUGGCCUUGCGGUGCAUUAGGCAUUUGGUGGGGUAACGGCCCACCAAGGCGACGAUGCAUAGCCGACCUGAGAGGGUGAUCGGCCACACUGGGACUGAGACACGGCCCAGACUCCUACGGGAGGCAGCAGUAGGGAAUCUUCCACAAUGGACGAAAGUCUGAUGGAGCAACGCCGCGUGAGUGAUGAAGGUUUUCGGAUCGUAAAACUCUGUUGUAAGGGAAGAACACGUACGAGAGGGAAUGCUCGUACCUUGACGGUACCUUACGAGAAAGCCACGGCUAACUACGUGCCAGCAGCCGCCGUAAAAC
rnacentral:rRNA from 1 species